GACGAACGCUGGCGGCGUGCUUAACACAUGCAAGUCGAACGGAAAGGCCCUGCUUUUGUGGGGUGCUCGAGUGGCGAACGGGUGAGUAACACGUGAGUAACCUGCCCUUGACUUUGGGAUAACUUCAGGAAACUGGGGCUAAUACCGGAUAGGAGCUCCUGCUGCAUGGUGGGGGUUGGAAAGUUUCGGCGGUUGGGGAUGGACUCGCGGCUUAUCAGCUUGUUGGUGGGGUAGUGGCUUACCAAGGCUUUGACGGGUAGCCGGCCUGAGAGGGUGACCGGCCGCAUUGGGACUGAGAUACGGCCCAGACUCCUGCGGGAGGCAGCAGUGGGGAAUAUUGCACAAUGGGCGGAAGCCUGAUGCAGCAACGCCGCGUGCGGGAUGACGGCCUUCGGGUUGUAAACCGCUUUCGCCUGUGACGAAGCGUGAGUGACGGUAAUGGGUAAAGAAGCACCGGCUAACUACGUG
rnacentral:rRNA from 1 species